UUCCAGACUCCUACGGGAGGCAGCAGUGGGGGAUAUUGCACAAUGGGGGGAACCCUGAUGCAGCGACGCCGCGUGGGUGAAGGAGCGUUUCGGCGCGUAAAGCCCUAUCGGCAGGGAAGAAGGAGGACGGUACCUGACUAAGAAGCCCCGGCUAACUACGUGCCAGCAGCCGCGGUAAUACGUAGGGAGCAAGCGUUGUCCGGAAUUACUGGUUGUAAAGGGAGCGUAGGCGGGGAUGCAAGUUGGGUGUCAAAACUAUCGGCUCAACCGAUAGUCGCACUCAAAACUGCAGCUCUUGAGUGAAGUAGAGGCAGGCGGAAUUCCUAGUGUAGCGGUGAAAUGCGUAGAUAUUAGGAGGAACACCAGUGGCGAAGGCGGCCUGCUGGGCUUUUACUGACGCUGAGGCUCGAAAGUGUGGGGAGCAAACAGGAUUAGAUACCCCUGUA
rnacentral:rRNA from 1 species